rnacentral:miRNA from 1 species
AAGGAGAUGCUCAGGCAGAU